AUACGUAGGGGGCAAGCGUUGUCCGGAAUCAUUGGGCGUAAAGCGCGUGUAGGCGGCCAUCCAAGUCCGAUGUGAAAGCUCGGGGCUCAACCCCGAGUCUGCAUUGGAAACUGGUUGGCUUGAGUCCGGAAGAGGAGACUGGAAUUCCUGGUGUAGCGGUGAAAUGCGCAGAUAUCAGGAAGAACACCGGUGGCGAAGGCGGGUCUCUGGGACGGUACUGACGCUGAGACGCGAAAGCGUGGGGAGCAAACAGGAUUAGAUACCCUGGUAGUCCACGCCGUAAACGAUGGGCACUAGGUGUGGGAGGUGUCGACUCCUUCCGUGCCGAAGCUAACGCAUUAAGUGCCCCGCCUGGGGAGUACGGCCGCAAGGCUAAA
rnacentral:rRNA from 1 species